UUCCAGACUCCUACGGGAGGCAGCAGUGGGGAAUAUUGCACAAUGGGGGGAACCCUGAUGCAGCGACGCCGCGUGGGUGGAGGAGCACCUCGGUGCGUAAAGCCCUAUCGGCAGGGAAGAAAAGCGAACAGGUUCGCCUGGACGGUACCUGACUAAGAAGCCCCGGCUAACUACGUGCCAGCAACCGCGGUAAUACGUAGGGGGCAAGCGUUAUCCGGAUUUACUGGGUGUAAAGGGGGCGCAGACGGCCAUGGCAAGCCCGGUGUGAAAGGCAGGGGCAUAACCCCUGGACUGCACUGGGAACUGUCAGGCUGGAGUGCCGGAGGGGUAAGCGGAAUUCCUGGUGUAGCGGUGAAAUGCGUAGAUAUCAGGAGGAACACCGGCGGCGAAGGCGGCUUACUGGACGGCAACUGACGUUGAGGCCCGAAAGCGUGGGGAGCGAACAGGAUUAGAUACCCUCGUAAU
rnacentral:rRNA from 1 species